rnacentral:rRNA from 1 species
ACACAUAUGUGGAUGGUAGUGCAUGGCCGUUCUUAGUUCGUGGAGUGAUUCAUCCAGUUGAUUCCGACAACGAACGAGGUUCCGGCCUGUUAACUCACACGUCGGUUAGUGCUUUUCCGGUGGCGUAUUGCUCCACGUGUUCGUCGUUAGUUCUGCGCAUGACCUGAGGUUUCAGCCUCUUCUUAUUCUAUAAUCUCUGUUGUAGUGAACACCGUGGUGGUCGAUAUUGGUCAAGAAUGUACUAUGGUGGUGACGAUGCUAACACGUCUACAGAAGACUGUACGAGGCGGCUCGAUAAUAGGGUGUGUGUGUGUGAUGCCCUUAGAU